rnacentral:tRNA from 1 species
GUUUUAAUAAUUUAAAUAAAAUACUGGUCUUGUAAACCAGAAAUGGUUAAUUCCUUAAAACA